GAUGAACGCUGGCGGCGUGCCUAAUACAUGCAAGUCGAGCGAACGGACGAGAAGCUUGCUUCUCUGAUGUUAGCGGCGGACGGGUGAGUAACACGUGGAUAACCUACCUAUAGGACUGGGAUAACUUCGGGAAACCGGAGCUAAUACCGGAUAAUAUUUUGAACCGCAUGGUUCAAAAGUGAAAGACGGUCUUGCUGUCACUUAUAGAUGGAUCCGCGCUGCAUUAGCUAGUUGGUAAGGUAACGGCUUACCAAGGCAACGAUGCAUAGCCGACCUGAGAGGGUGAUCGGCCACACGGGAACUGAGACACGGUCCAGACUCCUACGGGAGGAAGCAGUCGGGAAUCUUCCGCAAUGGGCGAAAGCCUGACGGAGCAACGCCGCGUGAGUGAUGAAGGUCUUCGGAUCGUAAAACUCUGUUAUUAGGGAAGAACAUAUGUGUAAGUAACUGUGCACAUCUUGACGGUACCUAAUCAGAAAGCCACGGCUAACUACGUG
rnacentral:rRNA from 1 species